UUUCAGAAGGAAACAUUUGAGCUUGACUUGUGGUCUGUUUGUAUACGUGACGGGCUUCAUUGCUCUCCCGUAGAUUUCACCUGCAAAGCCACUCCUGAUUCUUUGUUUUAUAGCAUCUCGGAUUUGACUCAUGAAACAUAUAACGCUAAUUUAUGUGAGCAAUAUGUCUGGGCACGAAUUUGGGCCAUUAUAGAACUUGUAGUUUGUUUUUUAUCCCUUGCUCUCAACCUAUUUCUUAUUUAUAAUAAACGGCUAUCUUUUCAUAUGUUUGGAUUUCUCUGGAGUGUUCUCACGUUUUGUGUGACUUCUCGGGUUAAUUUUUUAAUUAUUUCUUUUGCUGAGCUGAG